ensembl:snRNA U6 U6 spliceosomal RNA
GUGCUCACUUCUGCAGCACAUAUACUAAAAUUGGAACAAUAUAGAGAAAAUUAGCAUGCCCCUGCACAAGGAUGGCAUGCAAAUUUGUGAAGUGAUACAUAUUGGG